GAUGAACGCUGGCGGCGUGCCUAAUACAUGCAAGUCGAGCGAACAGACGAGGAGCUUGCUCCUCUGACGUUAGCGGCGGACGGGUGAGUAACACGUGGAUAACCUACCUAUAAGACUGGGAUAACUUCGGGAAACCGGAGCUAAUACCGGAUAAUAUAUUGAACCGCAUGGUUCAAUAGUGAAAGACGGUUUUGCUGCUACUUAUAGAUGGAUCCGCGCCGCAUUAGCUAGUUGGUAAGGUAACGGCUUACCAAGGCAACGAUGCGUAGCCGACCUGAGAGGGUGAUCGGCCACACUAGAACUGAGACACGGUCCAGACUCCUACGGGAGGCAGCAGUAGGGAAUCUUCCGCGAUGGGCGAAAGCCUGACGGAGCAACGCCGCGUGAGUGAUGAAGGUCUUCGGAUCGUAAAACUCUGUUAUUAGGGAAGAACAAAUGUGUAAGUAACUAUGCACGUCUUGACGGUACCUAAUCAGAAAGCCACGGCUAACUACGUG
rnacentral:rRNA from 1 species